rfam:Spinacia oleracea complete chloroplast genome
GAGAGCCAAAUGAAUUGAAAAAUUCACGUUUGGUUCGGGAAGGGAUCAUGAAUGUUUUGAAAUGAAUGGAGAGAUAAUCUACUUUCAU